UUGGAAUCCAGAUCGUGUCACCUCCUCUCGCUGAGCUGGAUCAUCCAGCGAGCUACCUGCUCUCUUGGGUUUAGCUGGGCCGGUGGCGGACAGAUGGAGGAAAGAGACGAAGAGAGGGCCUUUUUUUUAUUUUAUUUUUAAACAGAGAAGCAACCUUCCAUUGGAAGGAAAAUUCCUCUCUCUCUUCGUUCGGUUGCGUUGUGUAUACGGGGGGGGAUAUAGAUUAUAUAUCUUGUGAAAGAGAGAAGAAGAGAAGAGGAGGAGAAGAAACUGAAAGCCAAGAUGGACCCGCCGACCUUGCAGGAGAUGUCGUACUACGAGCACAUCCAGAGGCGCAACGAGGAUAAGGGCUGCCUCUACGCUUGCUUGUUCGCACUGUGCUGCUGCUUCUGCUGCUAUGAGACCUGCGAGUGCUGCCUAGACUGCCUCUGCUGCUGCUGCAAUUAACCAUGCAGAAAGAACGUGGAAUAAUAUAAUAUAAUACCAAAAUGCCCUCUCUCUCUUCUGCAUUUGGAGUUUGAAGUGUUCUGUCUAAAAUAAAAUAUGUAGCUCUGAUGUGGAUUACUUGCUUACAUUGUUUUGCGUAUCUCCAAGAAUGUCGUGAAGAAUGCUCCUUUGUAUUUUAUACUAGAACUCGUAAUAUAUUAGUGUGUAUUUUGCAUUCCUUUGCCGCAU